UAUUAGGUUGGUGCAAAAGUAAUUGCAGCUUUUACUGUUACUUUUAAUGUCAAAAACUGCAAUUACUUUUUCAUCAACCUAAUAU
ensembl:miRNA